AGAGUUUGAUUCUGGCUCAGAUUGAACGCUGGCGGCGUGCUUAACACAUGCAAGUCGAACGUGAAAGUCCUUCGGGGCGAGUAAAGUGGCGCACGGGUGAGUAACGCGUGGAUAAUCUACCCUUAAGAUGGGGAUAACGGCUGGAAACGGUCGCUAAUACCGAAUACGCUCCCGAUUUUAUCAUUGGGGGGAAAGAUGGCCUCUGCUUGCAAGCUAUCGCUUAAGGAUGAGUCCGCGUCCCAUUAGCUAGUUGGCGGGGUAACGGCCCACCAAGGCAACGAUGGGUAGCCGGUCUGAGAGGAUGACCGGCCACACUGGAACUGGAACACGGUCCAGACUCCUACGGGAGGCAGCAGUGGGGAAUAUUGCGCAAUGGGCGAAAGCCUGACGCAGCGACGCCGCGUGAGGGAUGAAGGUUCUCGGAUCGUAAACCUCUGUCAGGGGGGAAGAAACCCCCUCGUGUGAAUAAUGCGAGGGCUUGACGGUACCCCCAAAGGAAGCACCGGCUAACUCCGUGCCAGCAGCCGCGGUAAUACGGAGGGUGCAAGCGUUAAUCGGAAUCACUGGGCGUAAAGCGCACGUAGGCGGCUUGGUAAGUCAGGGGUGAAAUCCCACAGCCCAACUGUGGAACUGCCUUUGAUACUGCCAGGCUUGAGUACCGGAGAGGGUGGCGGAAUUCCAGGUGUAGGAGUGAAAUCCGUAGAUAUCUGGAGGAACACCGGUGGCGAAGGCGGCCACCUGGACGGUAACUGACGCUGAGGUGCGAAAGCGUGGGUAGCAAACAGGAUUAGAUACCCUGGUAGUCCACGCUGUAAACGAUGGGUGCUGGGUGCUGGGAUGUAUGUCUCGGUGCCGUAGCUAACGCGAUAAGCACCCCGCCUGGGGAGUACGGUCGCAAGGCUGAAACUCAAAGAAAUUGACGGGGGCCCGCACAAGCGGUGGAGUAUGUGGUUUAAUUCGAAGCAACGC
rnacentral:rRNA from 1 species